GUUAAACUUCAAAACUGAACACCGAUUAGAUUCACUCUCAUUUCCGUUGAAAGUCAGAAAAGAUGGCGAUGAUAGAAAAAAAUUUAUUUAAAAGUGACUGUCCUCCGUAAUAAUAAUUAUUUACUAUAUAACUAAUUAAUCAAUAUCAAGUAUAAUCGAUUAAUAACCUAAGUAAUAGAAAAAAUACGAUACUUCAAAGACCUUAACCUCGAAAAUUUAAUGCCUAUCUCAUAAAUUAAUUAAUUUGAUGACUAAUCCUCAGUAACUAUUCCAAGCUAAACAAUCGCAGGGAUAGUGCAAGAAAUCAAAGACUUAAAAUGCAUUUCAUCUUAUCCGAGCAUCUGAGCCCCCCGCUGCCAACAGCCAACCAGCCAAUGAGUUGUAUCACGUUAUCUUGUUUUGUAUACAUAUAUUUCUUCAAACUAACAGACAUUGCGACGAGUGGAAUAAUCGAAACUACCUUGGGGUGUUAUUGAAAAUGAGGAGGUGCUUGAUUGUUAAGCAGAGGAGAGUGAAAAAAAGUAGGUUGUGCAACAAAGCCUUCCGGGAGGUCCCCAAGCGUACUCCAUCUCAUAUUUCUAGCAUCCAGUUAGGUUUGGAACUCAGCAGUCAGAGAGCACAGAACAGAACAGAACAGAAGAGAAGAGAGUGGAACAGAACAGAACAGAACAAGAGAGUUAUACUCUAGUAUGGCAAAGGUGUGCUAUAUAGAGUGCAAGGAGAGUAAGGACGCAGAAAGGUUUUAGUUGACGAGGAGAGCACACUCGGGAGAGACCGGUCGAUGCACUUCCUCCUUCCCGGUGUGUAUGUACACCGCCAUAUAAGAACCGUCGCACUACACCUACGUAUUGGUUCCAGGCACUUUCUGUACAUGUACAAUACAUUAUAUUUUAUAACAACAACAAUAAUAACAGUAAUGGUAAUAAUAAUAUGCCUACACAAACCCAACCAGACACACAUUCGUCCCUCGACUAUGGACAUUUUGAAAUUUGACUCUUUAAAAGUUUAAAUUUAAUACACCCACCAGACCCACUGAGCUAACUGUCGUCUAUUGUACUCGUGUGUCUUAAUACUAAAACUCUAAUUUUUAUAAAAUAUCUAUUUCAUGGUCUCUUGUACGAAAUAAUUUUAGUGUAGUAACAUAUGCAAUUAGUGGUAACUGUUGAUAUAAUUAUUUAUAAAUUAUAAUUAUGUAAAAAAAAUAAAACCAGGCCUUGUUAUGAAAUUUGUGUCGAGUAUGGAGCGAUAGUGCACAAGAGGUGUACGGUUAAUUAAGUAAUUAAAUGUAUGUGCAUAUAUGUAUAUAUAUAGCAAGUAAUUUAAGAGUAAGUAUUUUUCAGAGCUUUUUGGUAUAUGGCAACGUCAGAUCUCUUCUGAUUAAUUCCUAACACGACUAACGAGCAACGACCACGGGCAUGAACGCGAGCACGAUGACGACGUAGACGCAAACCGCAAAAUUACUGCCCGAGUUAUUUCUUUGUCUGACAAACUCAGUUGACAUAAAUUUUAUGAAAAGCUUCCUCGUCGUUUAAUUGAAAGGACCGCGUAUGUGGGCAUACUAUUGCUACUUUAAUAAUUGUGUGUUAUAAUAUUUAACUUUAAUAAAGUCCCCGGUGGUUUUAUUUAUUUAGUUCAACUUUAACUUCAUUUUGUUUUCAUAAACUUUUACUAUCUCAGCCUACGAGCACUUUAUUGCCAUUACUGUAAUAACAAACCAUUAAUUUUAUUUUAAAAUUUAUAAAUUUUUACUCAGCACUAAAACUUGAAACUUGCACACGAUAACACUAUCGUUUAAAAUUAUUUAUUUAAAUAUAAAAGAUAUAUAAAUAGAUAUAUGUAUCAAGAGUUUAAACACUUGGAUAUUCGAACUACAUAUUGUUGUCUUAAGAUAAAGAGGGCGAAGAACACGGGAGAGUUUUGUGAGCGAGUUCGAAAGGUAUAGAGUAGACAAGAGUGAAAUAUCGAAAGAUGUUUUAAAGAGGCAGGCAGGUGGUACCCGAUGCGGAGUAAUAACUAGAGGAGGAUAUGAAAAGGUGGUAGUAGUGGAAGGAGUGAAACAGCACCCGAGGAUGGGUAUGGCUAUGGCACUACCAGUUUUUUCUCGAGAGCACCCGGUCUGUCAUCGUUUAGUAUUACUCUUGCCCGUGGGUUUUCGCUCAUCGUCGUAGUAGUCGUAGUCAACCACGAGAUGCACAAGAGGAGAAAAUGAAAAAAAAUAAAAAAAUUUAUAAAUAAAGUAAAGAGUUAAGUGUAGUGUUGAGUAGAGCGACAACCGAGGGAUGCUGGAUCUUGCAAAUUCUUGGAAAUAUAUAUGUGCACGUCUGACCAAGUAUCAGACAAAGGAUGCCAAGAAAAUAGAAAUGCAGGGAAGAAUGGAGCGCUAUCGUAGUCUUGAAGAAAAAAUUUCCGACAUUUCUCUCUCCGUCCUCCACUUUUUACUCUGAUUAUUUUUGCCUCGGGAAUUCAAGAAUAGUAACGUAAAAAAUGACUGUCUCCAUUAAAACUAUCAAGGGUACAUCAAAAAUAUAUGCUCAAGUAAAUGCUGUAUAAAUAAAAUAUGAAUGUAUACAUAUACAUAUUUCUGUAGGUUUAUUUUUAGCGCCAACUGCCUGAUGUUGUUAAGAUUUGAAUUAAGGGAUAAAUUUAUAAAUAAUGAUUGUGGGAUCGUGUCAAUUAAACAAAGAAAUAAAAGCUACAGGCAAACAUGACACGGUUGUUUUUCACUUUUAUUUUUAAAAAACAAUGCCUCACCUUUUUUAUUUAUUUUCACGAAACAAAAAUCAACAGAAUGCAUUAACGGGCAAAGUUAUCGUUGUGUUAGCGUGAUUAUGUGAGACAAUGAAAGUCAGAAUGAAUGUAAAUCUCCCGUCAGUCACGUCAGUACACAGAAGUAGUGGUAGCAGUAGCAGUAGCAGUAACAGCAGCAGGAAUGGAACCCUGGGGGAGUUAUUAUCGGUGAGAAGAAGGUUCGAACAGCGGGAGUGUCAUAAAAAAGACAAAGGCGAUCUGUUGAUUAAACUGCUAUUUUUUUCUAUCAACUUGCCGUCAACUUUUAAACAUCUCAUUUGCCUUUAAUUUUUCCUUUAACAAUUUUACGACAAUUUAUCAUAUAUAUAUGUUUACCUACGGUUUAAUUAAUGCAAGAAUUUAAUAAGAGGAAGUGUAGACGACGAGGCAUGCAUUUGGUGAUUUAAUAACGCAGCUCGGCAAUUUUCGCUCCGCUUGACGGUGCGUAGUCGAAAAAAAAUUUAUUUAAUAAUCUGCGGACACCACC